rnacentral:lncRNA from 10 species
CCGUCCCCACCCCAGCUCUAGCUCUGCCAGGGAGGCCCAGGCAGGGAGGUGAGCCCCUCCGGAGCAGCCUAAUUGCCACUGUCACAGCUCAAGUGUGUCGCCGUGGGAAUGGGCUAUUUCUAAGCACGGCAGGACGGACAGCGCCCACCCGGAGGAAAGCCUGACAGAUGAGACUUCGCAAGGAACCUGCCAGUUCAGGGAGGCCCACCUUUCUAGAAGGUUAACAGGAACUUCCAGCCUCCAGCCUACUUAGUGACCAGCUGCUGGAGGACAGUGAGUGGCCCCUGCUGUCCGCAUCUCCACAGGGGUCACCAAGCGCACUCACAGGGUCCCCCUCCACCUGGAGCAGAGAAUUCGGAGGAGCCCGUCUUGCUGUCUUUUCUGAUGUUGUUAAACUAUGCUUGGGCCUGUCCUUUGCUGAAAGGAGCUUUCUACACAGCUGGACUUCUGAGGUGGGACCUGCCACGUGCUAACUCUGGCACUCGGAGCGGUCUCUGCCACUGGCAAUGUCCUGUCCUGAACAUUUCCAGUGUGGCCUCUCUCCUGAAAGGCCUGUGUGCGACUUCUUUGUGAAGCCGGAAGAAAGUUCUGGGACUUCCCCUUCUCCUUUGGUGCAAAGUUACACUAACUGUCAUGAUGUUGUUGAUUUCCUUUUUUUUUUUUUUUUUUUUGAGAGUCUCACUCUGUUGCCUAGACUGGAGUGCAAUGGCGUGAUCUCGGCUCACUACAGCCUCCGCCUCCUGGGUUCAAGUGAUUCUCCUGCCUCAGCCUCCCAAGUAGCUGGGAUUACAGGCGCCUGCCACCACGCCUGGCUAAUUUUGUAUUUGUAGUAGAGACGGGGUUUCACCAUGUUAGCCAGGCUGGUCUUGAACUCCUGACCUCAGAUGAUCCGCCCACCUCAGCCUCCCAAAGUGCUGGGAUUACAGGCGUGAGCCACCGUGCCCGGCCUUGAUUUCCUUCUUAAGCAGAGCUGAGUCUCUGUCUCUGUCCACACCAGUGCCUCCUGGGCCUUCCUGAGCACGUGUGGCUGGCAUCGCUUCCCAUCUCUGCUCCCUGUGGCAUCUUGCUGUGUCCCCGGCACCUCUGCAAAGCACAGCCACAAUGCAUGCUGAAUGCAUCAACAUGCAGAAUUCACUCACGGGUCACACAGUUAGUCAAAAAUGUCGAUGCCCUGCCAGAUGGAGAGAUGGGAGAGAAUACGGAUCCCUCCAUGAGUCCAAGCCUGACGUGCACUCCCCUCGGGCCUCCUCUUCCUGUGCUCCAGGUUUUCUGUUUCAAGGCCGCUCUUCCCUUCCUUACUGUGUGUCAGCUCAGUCAUGGAUUUUAAACAAUGCUUUCCAUAUAUAUAUAUAAUAUAUGUACUAUAUAUUAUAUAUGUAUAUAUAUAAUAUGUAUUAUAUAUAAUGUAUGUAUAAUAUAUAUAAUUAUAUAUAUAUGUAUUUUUUUUUAGAUGGAGUCUUGCUCUGUCACCCAGGCUGGAGUGCAGUGGUGCAAUCUUGGCUCACUGCAACCUCUGCCUUCCGGGUUCAAGUCAUUCUCCUGCCUCAGCCUCCUGUGCUUUCCAUAUUUUAUACAGAUUGUUUGCCAGGCACAGUGGCUCACACCCGUAGUCCCAACUACUUGGGAGGCUGAGGCGGGAGGACCCCUUGAGCCUAGGAGUUUGAGGCUGCAGUGAGCUAUGAUUGCACCCCUGCACUCCAGCCUGGGGAACAGAGCAAGAUCCCCAUCUCUAAAAAAUAAUUAAAAAAUAGGCCGGGCGCGGCAGCUCAUGCCUGUAAUUCCUGCACUUUGGGAGGCUGAGGCAGGCAGAUUGCUUGAUGUCAGGAGUUGGAGACUAGUCUGGGCAGCACAGCGAGACCCCUGUCUCUACAAAAUGUACCAAAAAAAAAUUAGCUGGAUGUGGUGGCACGAGCCUGUAAUCCCAGCUACUCAGGAGGCUGAGGAAGGAGAAUCACUUGAGCCCGGGAGGUCAAGGUUGCAGUGAGCCAUGAUUGCGCCUCUGUACUCCAACCUGGGCAACAGAGUGAGACCCUGUCUCAAAAAUAAUAAUAAUAAUACCAAUAAAACACAUUAUACAGAUCUUUUAUUGUUUCAUUGAGAAGAUCUUGCAGGUGACCUGACUUACCAUAUUGCUGAAAAUAGUCAUUGAUUUCCUUAAUCAUUUGAUUUUCAUUCAGGGGCCAAAUCUGGUCCACAAAUAUGUUAUAAAAGUAGGUAACUGCGGCCGGGC